GAUGAGGUUGAUAGGUUCGGUGUGGAAGCGCGGUAACGCGUGGAGCUGACGAAUACUAAUCGGUCGAGGACUUAUCCACACAUUCU
rnacentral:rRNA from 1 species